AAACUAUACCAUGUACCAUACCCUUCUAAUUAUUAUGAACAAAACGGAUCUAUUUUGCCUCUUUUAUUUGUUAUUUUUUCUAUGAUAAUAAGCACCAAAAAAAUUAAAUCGUAUUUUAAAAUGAAUAAGAUGUACAUAUAUUAUGUAUAUUGAACUACGCUGAAGUCUUGUUCCAGGAAUUCCAACAUCCAAAGUGCCCUGACCACCGGAAAGGCACGGUGGUUCCAUUGGUGUGGGCACGACGAGCAUUGGCUGCCUUGAAACUGAUCCAAUCACGAAGCACAGACCUUAGAUCAAGCAGCUUGGCACUUAUACUCCUGCAACAAUUGGCAUGGACAGUGGUGACUGCCCUAAUAUCUUUGCUAUCCGUGCAAAACCCACUAAAGUGGUCAGUGUCUAAGAACCUUGGAUUAAGGUCCAACCGCCUAAAGGUACCCUCCAGCAUUAGGUCCAACAGAACAUCUUGCUCUUUUUUCCCUGUGGAAUUGUCUUUCCUGGAAUACCAGGCCUCAAAUAGUGAUAUGGUCUUGUUGUUUGAUCUCACAUAGUAGAAUCCUGUGUUAAUUGAAUUCUUUUCGGAUAGUGCGUCACCAUUGAACCAAUCAGUACUAAUUUGGAGAUCUAGACUUUCAUUCUCGCUUAGCCUUGGAAAUGGGUUCCUCAGCCACAUCACAUCAGCAUCCGUGAAAAUGAAGCUGUAGCCAUGCUUGAGAACGUCUAAGAGUAGGUGGGUCCUUCUCCACAUCAUCUUGAUGAAAUCUUGAGACAUGAAAAGCUUUUCUCCGGCGAAAUCGACCCCCUCCGUUUCCAUCUUGUAACAGUUUAGGCGUUUGAAGAUGCACCGAUCAUAUGCGGUUUGAUCAACGGCCACAAGAAGAAGAUGGUCAAGCAGUGGCCUGGUGUCCUCUCCUAACCAAAAGCUAUCGAGAAAAAGGUCCAGCAUUGUGGUUUCAAAUUUGACGUUUGGUUCUACAUAGGCCUUGUUGAGAACAACGAUAAUGAGGGUUUUGUUGGGCAUCGAAGCUUUGUGCAAGGCCAAUUCCAGUUCAUCUAUGGGGAAUUUCAUUACAUGAGAUUGUGAUGAAUGAGCGGCACCAUGGCAGGAGUUAUGGUGAUAAGCGAGGAGCAGAGGAUUAUUUGAUGAAGAGGAAGACCACACGAAGAGAUAGAGAAGGCCAGCGAAGAGGAGGGAGAAGAGUGCAAGAUUUGGGAGAGAGUUCUUGAGGGAAUCCAAGUGCAUGGUGGGAUUUUUGGGACUGUGUUUUUAGGAUCAGGAAUUAUAAAAAUGAGUUUUGGACUUUUUUGGUCUAAUUUUAUGGCGGGGGAUUGAGAGAGAGAGAUGGGGAAGAAAGUCUGGAGGGUUAGGUUGGGAGAUUGGUUGUGCAGAGCACCUGAG
rnacentral:misc_RNA from 1 species